CAGCAGCCCGGUAAUACAGAGGUCCCAAGCGUUGUUCGGAUUCACUGGGCGUAAAGGGUGCGUAGGUGGCCGGGUAAGUCUGAUGUGAAAUCUCGGAGCUCAACUCCGAAACGGCAUUGGAUACUAUCCGGCUGGAGGGUCGGAGGGGGGACUGGAAUUCUCGGUGUAGCAGUGAAAUGCGUAGAUAUCGAGAGGAACACCAGUGGCGAAGGCGAGUCCCUGGACGACUCCUGACACUGAGGCACGAAAGCUAGGGGAGCAAACAGGAUUAGAUACCCUGGUAGUCCUAGCCGUAAACGGUGCGUAUUUGCUGUAAAAGGAAUCGACCCCUUUUGUGGCGCAGCUAACGCGUUAAAUACGCCGCCUGGGAAGUACGGUCGCAAGAUUAAAACUCAAAGGAAUUGACGG
rnacentral:rRNA from 1 species